rnacentral:lncRNA from 1 species
CAAAACAUAAAAUCUCUACAGAAAAAAAUUAAAUGUAAAAAUUAAUUGAAAUUAUAACAAAAACAUAAAUAUAAUAAAAAAAACCAGAUAUUAUUAUUACGUUAAGUGUGCAACCAUUGUGACCACUAGAAAACAGUCUAGCUUGCAUACCAGUGAAAUUUUCACUUAAAAUAAGACACACUUAACAAAAAUUAUAUCCACUGCAACCUUGAAAAAAUUUAUAUGAAGUUUUUGGUUUUGAGAUGAAACAGAACCACAAAAAUUCUUAAAAUACUAGAGACAAAUAUUUG